UGAAACUCUGACACCCUCUGUGUUUAGACACCCUGGCAUUCCUCUGCUGCUAAAAUCGACUUUAGUUUAAGACUGUGAUUAUGUAAGAUUUCAAGUAUCCUAAUUCCCCUUGCUUUCUACAGAAUUCCAGUUUCAAGGUACUGGCUACCCAUAAAAAGGAGGUGAUUGAUCAAAUUACUACAGUGUUCACUCUAUGUACAGCUUUACACAAUGCGACUCUUGCCUGGUUUUAAAAAGUCUGUGCCUUUUGCUGACUGAAGCUCUUUUCUUCUACUGGCUCCUCACCUCAAUGAAAUUACCAUUGAACACCUCUGAUAUUACUUACUUCUGCAUAUUUGAGAGUAAAGAUGUUGGACAAAUGGAAAAGUCCUUAAAAAAAAUCCAACAAAAUGGGU
rnacentral:lncRNA from 1 species